rnacentral:lncRNA from 10 species
CCCUCUGCCCCUCCGCCCCUCCGCCUGUCCGCCUCUCUCCUUCUCCCUUGUUCCCUCUCUCCCUCCCUGCUCCCCCACCUCCCUCCCGAGUCGUAGACUCCCUUCCCCCCGGCGCUGGGAGUCUCCUUCCCGCCCCGCCGCGCAGGUGCGGCGACGGCCGCGUCACUGGAGAGUGUGUCGAGUCACAGGCGGUCUUCCGCGCGGAGCGUCCCCGGCGGACGCUGCGCAGAUGGCUGCGACUGUAGGAUUCUUGCCGGCUAGUCUUCGUCGGUUCCGCCUGCGUCAGGUUACUCGUGAAAACUCGAAUAAGUGCUAUCGAUGUGAAAUCCGAGGAAAAGAGCAUUUGGGGGAAAAGUAAGGAAAACUCAAAACUCGGAUUGAGAAGUCUGCCUUGGCUCAUUAAUCAAGAAUUGCGCUUGCGCGCCUAAAUGUGACUGCCUUUAUCCUGCGAUGUCGGUAUUGAAGUUAAAAGGACUUCUGACUCAAACUCCUCCUCUUGAGUUUGCAGUUUGCCACUUCCAGCCUGGCGACUAGGUGCUGAUUAAGACUUGGAAAGAAGACAAGCUCCACCCAAGCUGAGAAGGUCCCUGUCAAGUGCUGCUGACCCCUGAGAUGGCCAUAUGUACAGCUGAAUGGGGGUGGACUCACUAUACUUGUCAAGGGACUGGUAAAAGAGACCCUGGAAGGGUGGGAAAAAGACCAGUGGAAAGUACAUGGGUCACCUGAGGAACCCUUAAAAUUAACUCUGAGAUGAAUCUAAAAAGAAAACAUGGGCUGGUCCCAUUUCUGGAAAUUAAUAUGGCUGGGAUGGGCUACUAUGCAAAGAGAAGAAGGUCAAAGUAGAAACUAUCAGGGGACUCCUCCCUACCCACUCAGGUUGGUAAUUAAUGUAAACAAGAUGGUGGCACCCAAGACUAUAAGAUUUGAUGACUGCCAAGGUUUUUACCUUGUAAGAAUUUGGAAAAUCAGAGACAGCUCUCACAUGUGGAUAAAUAUCCACUUCAUAUGAGGUGCUUGGAAUAGUCAAAUUAGAGGUUUCUAGGGGCUAGGGAGAAAAUAAAUGGGGAGUUAUUGUUUAAUAGGUACAGAGUUUCUCUUUCAAAGAAUGAAAAGUUCUGUAAAUGGAUAGUGGUGAUGAUUGCACAACAGUGUGUACUUAAUGCCACCGAACUGUACACUUAAGAAUGGUAAAUUUUAGGUUAUAUUUUACCACAAUAAAAAAUUAAAAUCAACAGUAAAGAAAUCAAUCCAAUUAAAAAUGGGCAAAAGAUUUCAAGACACAUUUCAAUGAAGAGGAUUUACAUAUGGCAAACAAAUGGAAAGUUGUUUAACAUUUCUAGCUAAUAGGGAAAUGCAAAUUAAGACCAUGAGAUAUUAUAACACAUUUAUUAGAGAACCACUAAAAUAAAAAAUGGUGACAACAUUAAUGCUGGCAAAGAUGCAGACAAACUGAUUUCUCAUACAUUGCAAGUGGAAAUGCAAAAUGGUUUAACCACUCUGGAGAAUUGUUUGGAAGUUUCUUAAAAAUUAAACAUGCAGCUAUCAUAUGAUCAAACUGUUGAACUACUAGGUAUUUAUUCCAGAGAAAUGAAAACUUAUGUUCACACAAAUACAUAUACACAAAUGUCCAAAGCAGCUUUAUCUGCAAUAGCCAACAACCAAAAACAAUCAAAAUUGUCAUCAGUAGGUGAAUGGCUAAACAAACUAUGGUCAUCAGUAUGCUGAAUGGCUAAACAAACUGUGGUACAUUCUUACUGUGGAAUAUUACUUAGCAAUAAAAAGAAAGAAACUAUUGAUGGACACAACUUGGAUGGAUUUCAAGGGCAUUUUUAUGCCAAGUGAAGAAAACUAAUCUCAAAAGUCACAUACUAUGUGAUUCCAUUUGUACGACAUUCUCAAUAUGAGGAAAUUUUAGAGAUGAAGAACAGAUUAGUGGUUGCCAAGGGCUAGGUAUAGAUGGGAGAGGCAGAGGGAUGAGUAGAACUUUUAAUAAAGGGGUAGAAUGAGGGUAAUUCUUGUGGUGAUAGAAUAGUUCUGUACCUUGAUUGCGACUGUUGCAUGACUCCAUGUGUGGUAAAGUGGCAUGGAAUUAUACAUAUGUUGUAUCAAUAUCAAUUUCCUGAUUGUGAUAUUAUGCUAUAGUUAUGUAAGAGGUAACAUUGAGGUAUAACUGAGUGAAGAGUACAGAGGAUUUCUCUGUAUUAUCUUUGCAACUUCGUGUGACUGUAUAAUGAUUUCAAAAUUAAAAAGUUUAAAACAUU